GCAAUAUCAUAGUGGCGCACGGGUGCGUAACACGUAUGCAACCUACCUAUUAUUGGGGGAUAGCCUUUGGAAACGGAGAUUAAUACCGCAUAAUACGAUUGACUGGCAUCGGUUGAUUGUUAAAGCUUCGGCGAUAAUAGAUGGGCAUGCGUCCAAUUAGUUAGUUGGUUAGGUAACGGCUGACCAAGACGAUGAUUGGUAGGGGAUCUGAGAGGAUAAUCCCCCACACUGGCACUGAGAUACGGGCCACACUCCUACGGGAGGCAGCAGUAGGGAAUAUUGGGCAAUGGGCGGAAGCCUGACCCACCCAUGCCGCGUGCAGGAAGAAAGCGUUAUGCGUUGUAAACUGCUUUUUUAUAGGAAGAAGGAUCCCUUGCGAGGGAAGGUGACGGUACUAUAAGAAUAAGCACCGGCUAACUCCGUGCCAGCAGCCGCGGUAAUACGGAGGGUGCAAGCGUUGUCCGGAUUUAUUGGGUUUAAAGGGUGCGUACGCGGUUUAUUAAGUCAGUGGUGAAAGACGGCCGCUCAACGAUUGCAGUGCCAUUGAUACUGGUAGACUUGAGUGAGAUUG
rnacentral:rRNA from 1 species